AUAAAUCUCAUUAUGUGUCUAAAACACACAUGUAUCGACACGUGCACCGGGGUGCCUUACCGUCUGAAAGGGCGCGAAGGUCGGUUGCAUGGGAUACAUGGAGGCUCAACC
rnacentral:sRNA from 1 species